CAGCCCGCCUGCCCAGAUCCGCAGCCGGAUGCUGCGAUCGCUCCCCGCCCACCCGGCCUGGCCCGCGGCCUUAUAAGGCAGCACGGCCUCCUGGGCGGCGACGGCUGCUCACGCCUAUUGUUCAGACAUGAAGACAUGGCCUGGAAGUACCUCCUGGCUAGAGCCCACAUCUUCCAUGAGAUCCUGAUGUGGGAAUGCGGAAACACAGGAGCACCAUGGACAGCACCAGGCGAACUUCAGAGGUUGGAAGCAAUGCUGUGGUAUCUCAUCCCUGUCUCUCUCUCUCUCAAGAAUGAACAGAGUGGGUCAGGGAAGCCACUCGGCAGUAGUGUUGUGGAUGCAGAGGUCCUGGUUUCAUUCCCUAGCACCUCAUUUAAAAAAUCAAAAACAACAAGACAAACUAACAAGGGAGGAGUAGCCUCGGAAUAUGACAUUUGAGCAAAUGCAACCACACAA